AAGAGAAGAGCUUAUCAGCAAGCCAUAGAUGACUUGCAUGGUGUAAUUAAGUAGAGCUCUAACUUAUAAUUUAAACCAGGCAAGUCAUCCUUGGCUACCAAAUAAGGCUCUUAUCU
rfam:Spinacia oleracea cultivar SynViroflay scaffold59258.con0002.1, whole genome shotgun sequence.